AGCGAACGCUGGCGGCAGGCUUAACACAUGCAAGUCGAACGCCCCGCAAGGGGAGUGGCAGACGGGUGAGUAACACGUGGGAACGUACCCUUUGGUUCGGAAUAACUUGGGGAAACUCAAGCUAAUACCGGAUAAGCCCUUAUGGGGAAAGGUUUACUGCCGAAGGAUCGGCCCGCGUCUGAUUAGCUAGUUGGUGAGGUAAUGGCUCACCAAGGCGACGAUCAGUAGCUGGUCUGAGAGGAUGAUCAGCCACACUGGGACUGAGACACGGCCCAGACUCCUACGGGAGGCAGCAGGGGGGAAUAUUGGACAAUGGGGGCAAACCUGAUCCAGCCAUGCCGCGUGAGUGAUGAAGGCCUUAGGGUUGUAAAGCUCUUUUACCCGGGACGAUAAUGACUGUACCGGGAGAAUAAGCCCCGGCUAACUUCGUGCCAGCCGCCGCGGUAA
rnacentral:rRNA from 1 species